UUGAGUUCGUGUGAGGUUACCUC
rnacentral:snRNA from 1 species